UACGUAGGGUGCAAGCGUUAAUCGGAAUUACUGGGCGUAAAGCGUGCGCAGGCGGUUCUAUAAGACAGAUGUGAAAUCCCCGGGCUCAACCUGGGUACUGCAUUUGUGACUGUAGAGCUGGAGUGCGGCAGAGGGGGAUGGAAUUCCGCGUGUAGCAGUGAAAUGCGUAGAUAUGCGGAGGAACACCGAUGGCGAAGGCAAUCCCCUGGGCCUGCACUGACGCUCAUGCACGAAAGCGUGGGGAGCAAACAGG
rnacentral:rRNA from 1 species